AGUGGCGGACGGGUGAUUAACGCGUGAGAAUCUGCCUUGGGGUCGGGGACAACCACUGGAAACGGUGGCUAAUACCGGAUAAGCCGAUUGGUGAAAGAUUUAUUGCCCGAAGAGGAGCUCGCGUCUGAUUAGCUAGUUGGUGAGGUAAGAGCUCAUCAAGGCAGCGAUCAGUAGCUGGUCUGAGAGGACGAUCAGCCACACUGGGACUGAGACACGGCCCAGACUCCUACGGGAGGCAGCAGUGGGGAAUUUUCCGCAAUGGGCGAAAGCCUGACGGAGCAAGACCGCGUGAGGGAGGAAGGCUCUUGGGUUGUAAACCUCUUUUCUCAGGGAAGAAGCUCUGACGGUACCUGAGGAAUCAGCCUCGGCUAACUCCGUGCCAGCAGCCGCGGUAAUACGGAGGAGGCAAGCGUUAUCCGGAAUUAUUGGGCGUAAAGCGUCCGCAGGUGGCGAUUCAAGUCUGCUGUCAAAGCACGGGGCUUAACUCCGUAAAGGCAGUGGAAACUGAAUAGCUAGAGUGCCGUAGGGGUAGAGGGAAUUCCCGGUGUAGCGGUGAAAUGCGUAGAGAUCGGGAAGAACAUCGGUGGCGAAAGCGCUCUACUGGACGGCAACUGACACUCAGGGACGAAAGCUAGGGGAGCGAAUGGGAUUAGAUACCCC
rnacentral:rRNA from 1 species